rnacentral:sRNA from 1 species
UGUAAAAAAGCGCCCUAAAGGCGAACCUGCAGCAGGUUUGAGUUGAGCGCAGCGAAACAACGGAGCCGCUCGCGGCGACGGCCCGAAGGGCGAGCGAAGCGAGUCAUCCUGCACGACCCACCA